CUCCUACAUCACAGCAAAGAAAAGUUGAAGCACUUCUUACCAAAAAAGAGAGAAAGAAAGAGCAGGCUAGGCAAAUAAUUGAACUGCACAAGGAUCAUAAUUGAUCAAACCACGUGAUUUAACAGGAUUUUAAGAGUGCAGGUGGUGUGUCUUCCAGGUGUUGCAUGUUAAACAGACAUAAAAGUCAGGCCCUUCAAUUGGACAUUUUAAAAUGAAGGAAGAAGCAGAUAUUACUUGCAGAAGUUCUUCAAAAACAUCCUCCAGGGUGAUGAUGCCUAUCACUUCACCAUCUUCAAUAUUCUCUGGCGCAUUCGUCAAACAAUUUGUUGUGGAGCCAUUUUGUGAGAAAAAAGUUUGAUUAUGUAAUGUAAUAGCCUUUGCAGCAUUAUCAACAUCGACGACAACAUUAUCUGAUUCUUCAUCAUGCUCAGAUAGCAAGGGGACAGUUAAUUGGUAAUUCCCUUUUCUAACUUUAUUUAAGAAGACUUUCUCUACAUCAGCAUCAGUCACAGGGUUCUGGCUUUUUACUUUCACCACAGCUGCCAUGUGACUG
rnacentral:lncRNA from 1 species